UUUUUUUCCUCAAAAAUUUUAUUGGGUUCAGGAGGAUUUUUAAAAGUUGAUAUACCAUUGGAAGGACAUUAAAGAUUUUAUAUAAAGAUAAACAAUUAGAGCACUUUACAAUAUACAAUUUUAAGUUUUAUUUGUCAAUUAAAAUUGAAAUUAGUACAAACAGUGACACAAAAAUUUAGUACCAUUUUAAAGGUAUAUAAAGCUAAGGACAUCUCCCAGUUCAAUUUGAGAUCUUCAACUAGAGGCUACGCAGAAUUAAUACUAGACCACUGCUCCUCCACAUUCAAAACCUGUGCUCUUUCCAGAACUCCAUAUAUCCCACCUCCCUAAUAUUAACUAAAGAUGAGGAUGCAAAGAAUGUUAAGAGACUCAAAGCAGGCCUUAUUGGAACCUGAUUGGGGUGUCCAGCUGGUCAUUAAAAUCCAAAUAUAGGUUAAGAUUUACUUGAUCCAGGAUAAUGGCAAAAAAUGAAAAAUGAUUCUGUUAUCACAGUUUUUUCUCAUGUUUUCCUUUUAGCUCCAUUUCUUCACACACGUGUAAAAUAAAUAAACAAACAUCAGCCAUUUAAAAAAUAUCAAAAACACAAUGUUUUCAGAGAUGAAUUCAUAGGAAUUGGAAUUUAAUAGUGAGAUAUUCAUUUAUUCAUCCCUAAGGGUGCCUCCCUUCAGUUUGACUGAGGAAAAUAGGUUCAGUUUUCCUUAUAUAAUAUAAAUAACACUGGAGGAAGAUUGCAUCUGUCAUAGAUGAAAAUACCAUAUUUAUGUCUUCUUAUAAUCCAUUCAUUGCUUUAUGGACCCAAAGUCCUCCAGGGAGUGUCACAAAUCCACAUAAUGUUCCUGAGUGUUACGUUUUGCAUUUGGAUCUAUGAUUUAGCUGACAGAUGUGAAUAAACACUUAGAGUCCAGGAACUCUCUGAUAAGUGCACAUGUGGAGACCAAAGAGUAUAAAUUCCUUUAAGGUCACAUUAGCUCUUCCUUGAAAUCCCCUUCUAUGAUUACUUCUUUGCUGAUGAUAAAAUAAUUUUCCACCAAUGAAUCAACAUAUAUUUUCAAAAUUUGCUAUGCUGUGUUUUAUUAUUUUUCCAUCAAAAUUUUAAUAAAUCAAUUAAAAUGAGAAUGUUUCAAUUUUUAUAAAGAAACAAAACCCUUGAAUCCUACAAUUUUGAUAUAUAUUCUCUAAGAACAAUGAAAAUCCCACUAUUUUUCUAAUUGUUUUGGAGAACAACUCUAGACAUUGUACACCAACAUUGUUUCAAAUUUUAAGCGAUUAAGCACUGAUGCUGAAGCUGGAACUCCAAUACUUUGGCCACUUGAUGCGAAGAACCGACUCAUUGGAAAAGAUUUGAUGCUGGAAAAGAUUGAAGGUCUUCUCAAAUGAGUCAGUUCUUCACAGCAGGUGGCCAAAGUAUUGGAGCUUCAGGUUCAACAUCAGUCCUUCCAAUGAACACUCAGGACUGAUCUCCCUUAGGAUGGACUGGUUGGAUCUCCUUGCAGUCCAAGGGACUCUCAAGAGUCUUCUCUAACAACAAAGUUCAAAAGCAUCAAUUCUUCAGUGGACAACAUCUCACAUCCAUGUAAAAAAUAUUUUUAAUACUCUGGCCUCAUACUUUCCUGACUUUUCUUCACUCAAACUCUCUCGUCUGCCUCCAAGGAUCUUGUCAUCAUCUGGAAUUUCUCUGUCACUGAGUAAACCAGUAUUUAUUCAGAAGUAUGAUAGCUGUAUUAUAUUUAGCAAGAGUUAUUUCAGAAUUUUUGAGAACAGUAUAUAUCAAUGAGGGGCUUCCCAGGUGGCACUAGUGGCAAAGAAUCCACCUGCCAGUGCAAGAGAUGCAGCUUCAAUCCCUGGGUCAGGAAGAUCCCCUGGAGUAGGAAACGGCAACCCACUCCAGUAUUCUUGCCUGGAGAAUCCUAUGAACAGAGAAGCCUGGCGGGCUAUAGCCCAUGGGGUUGCAAAGAAUCAGAUACCACUGAGUGACUGAACACACACAGACACAUGUAUUGAUGAGAGGCAGUCAAGGGUACAUUAGUGUAUUAUCCUAUUUUCUGAAAUUUCCCAGCAGCUUAAAAAAAUUAAAAAAAAAAAAAAAAAAACCUUUCUGUUUUGAAAAAAAAAUUGAGCCUUCCAUUAAGUUACAAGAAUAGCACAGCAUUUCACUUCAUAUC
ensembl:lncRNA